UACGAAGGGGGCUAGCGUUGCUCGGAAUCACUGGGCGUAAAGCGCACGUAGGCGGAUUUCUAAGUCAGGGGUGAAAUCCUGGAGCUCAACUCCAGAACUGCCUUUGAUACUGGGAAUCUCGAGUCCGGGAGAGGUGAGUGGAACUGCGAGUGUAGAGGUGAAAUUCGUAGAUAUUCGCAAGAACACCGGUGGCGAAGGCGGCGCCCUGGCCCGACACUGACGCUCAGACACGACAGCAUGGGGAGCGAACGGG
rnacentral:rRNA from 1 species